UACAGAGGGGGCAAGCGUUGUUCGGAAUUACUGGGCGUAAAGGGCGCGUAGGCGGCCUGUUAAGUCGAACGUGAAAUCCCCGGGCUCAACCCGGGAACUGCGUCCGAUACUGGCAGGCUUGAAUCCGGGAGAGGGAUGUGGAAUUCCAGGUGUAGCGGUGAAAUGCGUAGAUAUCUGGAGGAACACCGGUGGCGAAGGCGGCGAUCUGGGUCGAUACUGACGCUGAGGUGCGAAAGCGUGGGGAGCAAACAGG
rnacentral:rRNA from 1 species